AGCCACAUUUAGUAUUUAUAGCUAGCAAACUGGUUAAUGGUAAUGUAAACUAAGCUUUUAAACUAUUUUCUACUAGCUAUGGCGUUUUGACUCUCGCGCACUAGCUCGAUAACAGAAUUGUUUAGUCGUCACUGGCUCGGUUGCUCGGUUUGUAAUGCUACUAGUAUAAAGUGAGAGAUUCAACGAUUGCCGCGGAUUAGACAGCUAGUGCCACAUUCUUGCAAAAUGACUGCGAUUAGCUAGCUAGUUACAGUACAAGUAGCCAGCAUUCUAGUCAUUUUACCUUUGUAUGUCUCUCAUGUUUAACAAAUCCAACGUAAUUACACACAAAAAAAAAUAUAUUGAUGAACACAUAGCUAGCCCGUGGACAUUGUGUCGAUGAACAUAUAGCUAGCUAAUGUUCGUUUUAUCCAGUUAACUGACAUUCGGCAUAUCUCGAUUUACUGCAGCGACCCCUGGUGGUAGUUGGAGCUCGGUGGAAUUGAAUGAAGCAUUAUGGCUGCUUUACCUUUUCCCUGCCCAGUUCGAUUAGGCAUCGUGAAAAGUGGAGGCUUACCCGCUCAGCUGCACAGGUACAGUCUGGAGAAGAAUCUGCACAAGAUGGAGAAACUGCUGAAGAAAGGUGUAGAUGUGGACUGUGUCAACCACUUGGGCCAGUCACCUCUGUUCUGUGCAUCUCUCCUGGGCCUGGCUAAUGUCACCGAGCUGCUACUGCAAUAUGGAGCCGACCCAAACCACCGUUGUGAGGACAGGAGCACCCCCGUCCACGCUGCCGUCUUCUCCUGUAAUCCCUGGCUGCUGAGCGGCCUGCUGGACGCAGGGGGGGACCUGAGGCUUCACGACCACAAAGGCAGGAGUCCCCGAGACUGGGCCGAAGCUGGGGCUCAGGAGAACAGUGCCAGGAUGCUUGAGUUCCUGAAGAACUGUGAGGCCCACGUGCACAGCCUGACUCAAACCCCCCCACCCAGGGAGCUGCACCAGUCCCCCUCCUUCACCUCCUCCAAGACUUUGCUGCGCUCCCCCUCUCUGCUAGAGGUCCUCAAGUUUGGUGGCUCUGACCUGCACCUCAACAGAAAGAUGACCAAGUCCUCUGCCUGUGACACAGUUCAAUGUUUUGGCUUCGGAAAGUUGUGUAAAGAUAAGCCUGGACAGGCGUUGGGCCUUCUUGCCUCCUUGCCUGUGAUUGGAGACGGUGAGUUAAGGCAGGCAGAUGACGAACCGCUUCUCUACUUCACGUGUGGCUCCUUCAUCUCCAUGACCAAUUACAGCUGGAAGGGCUGCAGGGUGACUGUGAAAGAGCUGCAGUCCCUCUCCUCCCCACUAGAGGGGAGCCACGAGGCCUAUCUGGACCUGCUGCUCAUUGAGCUGGACUACGGCAGCCAGCUGUUCCACCCCCACCUGCUGCAGCUGAUGGCAGUGAGCAUGUCUGCUGACCUGAUGAGGGUCGGCCUGGUGUAUGAGAGGGUCCACAUGGGCUCACUGCACAGCCUGCUACACCACAGGCGUUCCGAGUUCCCCCUGCUGCCUGCUGGAACCGUGCUGUUGGUGCUGCUGCAGGUGUGUGAGGCUCUGCUGUAUUUCCAUGGCCGAGGCCUGGUUCUGCGUGGCCUCUCCUCACACAGCGUCCUCCUCACACACCCCGGCGUGGCCAAGCUCUCCGGCCUUGGAUUCAUGGUGCCCAGAGCAUUGGUCUGUAUGUCCAGUGAGGGCAGUAGCUCCAAGCCCGUGGCCCAUCUAGCCCUGCCCCCAGGCCUGUACAACUGGGCCGCCCCGGAGGUGAUCCGACGGAGACCCUGCACGGCCAGGGCAGACCUCUACAGCCUGUGCUCCCUCAUCCAGGAGAUCUACACAGACUCAGUGCCUUGGGGCCCAGUGGACCCCCAGUGGAUCAGAAAGGCAGUAGAGUCAGGCCAGGCCCUGUCUGCAGACGCCAGGGUGCCCCAGCCCUACUACACCCUGGUCAGGGUGGGACUGCAUCCACGCCCCCAGGACCGCACACACAGCCUGCAGGACCUCCGCUACACUCUACGCCAAGACAUCCAGGAGCUGGCCCAGCUAGGGAGGAGGACAACUGUUCUGGACCCAGGGACAGGAUUAGGGCUCCAGUCAGGCUGGAGUCCAGAGUCAGUCACAGCCAAUAGGAUGGCACACGAUGGUGGCCUCCAGACCUGUGCUGAACCCCUGGGCGGUCAUCCUGGUCAGAUCCAAGACCAGCUCAGCCCGCUGGAUAAACUGUUGGACCGAGAGACCGAUGAGGAGGGAGGCGGAGAGAGGGGGUUGACCACAGAUUCUGAGCAGCCCCCCCUUUACAGUGCCAUCCCCUUCAGGGACAUCGUCCGCCUAGAUGACUGGCGCCUGUGUCCCGCCUCCCCCUCAGAGACCUCCAGCGCCCGGGAGGAAGAGUCCGACUCCAGUACCGUGACAGAGGAGGAGGAGGAGAUAAAGGAGCGGGCUGUCCGGCCAGAUCACCCGGCGUCCACGGUGCUUUCGGGACACAUCAGCUCCAUAGUGCUCAACCUCAAGGUCUCCCAGGUGUUGCUGCAGCAGUCCCAGUGCAACCUGAGCGCCGCCGAGCGCCGCCAAAGGCAACAGGAGUGCGAGCCGGAGGACGAGGUGGACGACGGGCCGGGCAGAUCAGAGGCUCCGGUGGCCCACGCCUCCUCCUCAGGCUCCUCCACUCUGUCCCGCGCGGUGGGUCCUCCCUCGCAGUACCGGCUCCUGCCACACGCCGUCUACCCCUCCUCCAGGAGGCUGGAGGCCCGGCUGCUGAAGGGAGGGGAGUCCAGGCGACUCAGCUCGGAGGAGCUGGCUGUGUGGCAGAGGGAGUACCCUGACCUGGAGGACACGGUGGAGGGCCUUUCAGAGGAGUCCUCUGCUUCAGAGGGAACCGGCAGUGAGUGCAUGGAGGCGAGCCACUACAGCUCGGCUCAGGAGGACAGCUUUGUCACCAAGCGGCCCAGAAGGCAGCAGCAGGCAUGGAGAGGUCCAAGCCCCAGAGAGACUGAGAGAGGAGGUCAGCUGGCUGGGAGACGGAUGCUUACUGACAGGCCCUGUCAGUCCUUAGACUGGACAGACUCUCUAGAGGACAGUCCUCCUCCCCAGCCCCAACCUGAGCCCCCACACAAGGCCAAAUGGACCAGUGAGGUGUCAGAGUUGGUGUCCAGAAUGACCCGGGGGCAUCUGGCUUUGGCUGUGGGCCACCCUAGUAGCAGUGACAGUGAAGAGGGUGAGGACAGACCACGACAGAGGCUUGGGCCUGCAGUGGGACCCCACAGACCCAGACAGAACCUCCAGGGACGCUGGGACAGUGACCUCAGACCCAGUGCCACUGCUGCCCUGCAGCCUCAGAAAGCUGCAGCUGAUGCUACCCAAAGCAGCUUCCAGCUUGAGCAGAUCUUCAAGAGCUUUGCAGGGAUCCAGAAUGAGAGUGAAGAGGAUGUAGAUUUCCACACUCUUAAUAUGACGUGUGAUGUGUGGGCUGAACAAAGACAGGAGGAGGGCAACUCUGAGUCUGACUACUGCCAGUCUCCAGUGGAGCCUUCUAGCAUGUUCUACACCCCCAACCCAGAACAGAGGAACAACCCCUCCAGAGACAGCCAGUUGAGCCCUGUCAGUUCAGAGGAGGACUUGGAUGUAACCGUGGAGGUGUGUAAGGCUGCUGUCAAUGGGACCGGCCCAGAGGAGCAGACCCUGAGGACCGGCCCAGAGGAGCAGACCCUGAGGACCGGCCCAGAGGAGCAGACCCUGAGGACCGGCCCAGAGGAGCAGACCCUGAGGACCGGCCCAGAGGAGCAGACCCUGAGGACCGGCCCAGAGGAGCAGACCCUGAGGACCGGCCCAGAGGAGCAGACCCUGAGGACCGGCCCAGAGGAGCAGACCCUGAGGACCGGCCCAGAGGAGCAGACCCUGAGGACCGGCCCAGAGGAGCAGACCCUGAGGACCGAACCCAGGGAGUGUCCGCCUUUUCAGGAGGAGUCAGAGAAGACCGAAAUAAACACGACUGUCAGUCAGAAUGUCUCCGUCCCACUGAUCAGUGUUUUACCUGACCUGGCUGAUGUCUCCAGCAUCACAUGCUCACCCUCCCAGCACCAGGAGUGGGGGGGCCAGGACAGACUUCACACCAGCCCCCUGAACAGACGGCCGCCACCCUGCAACAGCACCCCACGCAGCCCAGCAGCUGCACCCAAUUACAGAACCACAGAGGUCACUGGGGAGCCCAUCCCUCCCCCUCCCAGCCUGCUGGACACCUCUCACUGGAGCAGCAGCCGCUCCCAACCGCCCAACACGGAGAGCUUUGCCACUGCCAACCUGGGAGCCAUUAGCACGGUCAGAACAACGGACACGAUGAGAGACCUCUCCCUCCAAGAGAGUGACUCGGCCACAGGUCACCUACAGUUCAUCAUGGCCAGCUCCAGAGACAGACCGACCCCUGGAACAAGCCAAGAGGGGUUGGGCUCCACCUACAGCAUAGCAACUAGCCGCCAGGAGAAUGAGGAGGAGAGGGGCGAACUGAGUGAUCACUUUGAGGAGAACAAAGUUAAUUCUGUCGAAGGGCAGAGAGGGAUGUCACUGGAUGCAGGCGUUAAAACAAAGCUGGAGGAAAAUAAUUCUCCAGAAGGGUCUGAUCAGGGCAGCUGUGAUCUGGUGGAUGCCAAUGUGAUGGAUGCCAGCUUCUCCGUUCCAGAGGGAGAGGAUGAGGCAGGGUUUGGUGAGCAACAGUUACCAGGCCACGGUGAGGAUUGCGCAGCCAGUAUAGAGUCGACAGAGACUUCAGGAGUCCAGUGUGCAGAGGAGACUGAUCGAGCUCACUCCACUCUGGAUGAGGUUCUGCAGGGCAUGUUGCUGGACCGGGCAACUGGUCAAGCGGUUCCCAGUAGCGGCCCGGUCGCAGUCCCCAAACCACUGCUUGGUGCGUGUGAGGCCCAGGGGGAGGGGAGUGAGGACGCAGGUUGCCCUGCAGGGGAUGGUGCCUUGGCUGCAGAAUGGAGAAGAGUCCACCCCACUGACGAGGCAGAGCCAGCGACUGCGACAGAGUUGGAGACUGCUAAUCAUGGGACAUGGAGUCAGCCUCACAGGAUGAGUGUGCUGGAGCAGACUCCCAUCAAAAGUCAAAGUGACCCCAACCAAGUGAGAGCUUACAACUAGGAAAACAUAUGGAACAUCUCAGUAAUAACCAACUUCUGACCUAACAGCACUGAUUUCCUUACCACAUCACCAGUCUAUGGGUUACAUACAACACAAUCCACUCACCUGCUAGUACAAACAACUGCCUUUUUAAGCACUUGAACGCAUGGCAUGAAAAUACAUGUUGGUUCUGGAUUUUGGAUCAUUUAUGCGUUUUACCCUGUAAGUUCUUUCUAAACAUGAUUUAAAUGUUAUUGAUAUAUUUUAUGUAUUGGGUAUCAUUCAGUGGUCUCUGGGCUAUGAAGUUGUUUGUGUUACUGUUAAUCUGUAUAAGGUUAUUGCUGUUUCAGUUGAUGAUUAUAAUUAUUUUUAGGUAUUAAGUUGUUACUAUACAGUGAGUUAUCCAAACUGUAUAAAAUUGUAAUUUCACCACUACCUAUAGGCCAGAAGAAUGUUAUGGCUAAUCUGCAUUUGUACUUCAUGGAUUAAAUAACACUUUAUUUAGAUAAUCAACCUGUAGAUGCUUUACAGACUGUCUACAGACCGUCAAUAACAUUUCAAUGUGCUGUCUAUCAAUCCCAACCUGAAACCUCAUCCAAUCCCUCACCUUAGCCAGCAUUUACUUUGUUGUUGAUGUUUGAUAGUAUGAGUAUCUGUGGAGCAAAAAGAUGUCAGUUUUGACUAUCCACAAAGUGUAACCAUGGAUUAUCUUAAGGUUCCUGUUAAUUUUAUGCAAUUGUUUUACAUACUUAGGUGAUAGAAUUAAAACCUUAGCUUUGAUA